rnacentral:ncRNA from 2 species
UCGCGUGUUCCGGGGUCGGUGCAAUUCCGAGCCGGCGGUCAUAGUCCGCGACCCGCCCUCCUUCGGGAGGACGGUUGAACCGGUGGAACUCCGGUACCGACGGUGAAAGUCCGGAUGAGAGGCACACGCGG